rnacentral:rRNA from 1 species
UAGGGAAUCUUCGGCAAUGGGGGGAACCCUGACCGAGCAACGCCGCGUGAGUGAAGAAGGUUUUCGGAUCGUAAAGCUCUGUUGUUAAGGAAGAACGAGUGUGAGAAUGGAAAGUUCAUGCUGUGACGGUACUUAACCAGAAAGGGACGGCUAACUACGUGCCAGCAGCCGCGGUAAUACGUAGGUCCCGAGCGUUGUCCGGAUUUAUUGGGCGUAAAGCGAGCGCAGGCGGUUAGAUAAGUCUGAAGUUAAAGGCAGUGGCUCAACCAUUGUAGGCUUUGGAAACUGUUUAACUUGAGUGCAGAAGGGGAGAGUGGAAUUCCAUGUGUAGCGGUGAAAUGCGUGGAUAUAUGGAGGAACACCGGUGGCGAAAGCGGCUCUCUGGUCUGUAACUGACGCUGAGGCUCGAAAGCGUGGGGAGCGAACAGG